UCCUCUUACAAAGGUGUGUUUUUGGUUCCCUGUCCUUGGAUCGGAGGCAAAGAAAUGGAUUUGGAAAGGUCUGGGACCAGCUUGCCCCCCACCCCUGGAGGCUCAGGAUCAACCAUCCCACAGAG